UACGUAGGGGGCGAGCGUUGUCCGGAAUCAUUGGGCGUAAAGAGCGUGUAGGCGGCUUGGCAAGUCUGACGUGAAAGCCCGCGGCUCAACCGCGGAUUGUCGUUGGAAACUGCCUCGCUAGAGUCCGGAAGAGGAGAGCGGAAUUCCUGGUGUAGCGGUGGAAUGCGCAGAUAUCAGGAAGAACACCGGUGGCGAAGGCGGAUCUCUGGGCCAUUACUGACGCUGAGGAGCGAAAGCGUGGGGAGCGAACAGG
rnacentral:rRNA from 1 species